AGUUCGGAUUGUAGUCUGCAACUCGACUACAUGAAGCUGGAAUCGCUAGUAAUCGCAGAUCAGAAUGCUGCGGUGAAUACGUUCCCGGGUCUUGUACACACCGCCCGUCACACCAUGGGAGUCGGAAAUGCCCGAAGCCGGUGACCAAACCAAUAAGGAAGGAGCCGUCGAAGGCAGGUCUGAUAACUGGGGUGAAGUCGUAACAAGGUAUC
rnacentral:rRNA from 1 species